GAUGAACGCUGGCGGUAUGCCUAACACAUGCAAGUCGUACGAGAGUUUUUAACUCUAGUGGCGGACGGGUGAGUAACACGUGAGAAUUUGCCUUUAGGAGGGGGAUAACAAUUGGAAACGAAUGCUAAUACCCCAUAUGCUUUUGAGUGAAAUGGAUUUUAUCCGCCUAGAGAGAAGCUCGCGGCUGAUUAGCUUGUUGGUAAGGUAAGAGCUUACCAAGGCGACGAUCAGUAUCUGGUUUGAGAGGACGAUCAGACACACUGGAACUGAGACACGGUCCAGACUCCUACGGGAGGCAGCAGUGGGGAAUUUUCCGCAAUGGGCGAAAGCCUGACGGAGCAAUACCGCGUGAGGGAAGACUGCCUAUGGGUUGUAAACCUCUUUUUCAGGGAGGAAUAAAUGACGUGUACCUGAAGAAUAAGCAUCGGCUAACUCCGUG
rnacentral:rRNA from 1 species